UACGCACGCUGGCGGCGUGCUUAACACAUGCAAGUCGAACGGAAAGGCCCUGCUUUUGUGGGGUGCUCGAGUGGCGAACGGGUGAGUAACACGUGAGUAACCUGCCCUUGACUUUGGGAUAACUUCAGGAAACUGGGGCUAAUACCGGAUAGGAGCUCCUGCUGCAUGGUGGGGGUUGGAAAGUUUCGGCGGUUGGGGAUGGACUCGCGGCUUAUCAGCUUGUUGGUGGGGUAGUGGCUUACCAAGGCUUUGACGGGUAGCCGGCCUGAGAGGGUGACCGGCCACAUUGGGACUGAGAUACGGCCCAGACUCCUACGGGAGGCAGCAGUGGGGAAUAUUGCACAAUGGGCGGAAGCCUGAUGCAGCAACGCCGCGUGCGGGAUGACGGCCUUCGGUUUGUAAACCGCUUUCGCCUGUGACGAAGCGUGAGUGACGGUAAUGGGUAAAGAAGCACCGGCUAACUACGUG
rnacentral:rRNA from 1 species